UAUGAAUUGGAAAGGGAACAUAAUCACAAAUUAUACCAAACCAGAGUUUCUAAAGUA
rnacentral:sRNA from 1 species